rnacentral:rRNA from 1 species
GUGUCAGCCGCCGCGGUAACACGUAGGGGGCAAGCGUUGUCCGGAUUUAUUGGGCGUAAAGAGCUCGUAGGUGGUUCGGUAAGUCGGGUGUGAAAACUCUGGGCUCAACCCAGAGACGCCACCCGAUACUGCCGUGACUUGAGUCUGGUAGGGGAGUGUGGAAUUCCUAGUGUAGCGGUGAAAUGCGCAGAUAUUAGGAGGAACACCAGUGGCGAAGGCGGCACUCUGGGCCAGUACUGACACUGAGGAGCGAAAGCGUGGGUAGCGAACAGGAUUAGAAACCCCUGUAGUCC